GACGAACGCUGGCGGCGUGCCUAAUACAUGCAAGUCGAGCGCAGGAAGCUGACGGAACUCUUCGGAGGGAAGGCAGUGGAAUGAGCGGCGGACGGGUGAGUAACACGUAAGGAACCUGCCUCAAGGAUUGGGAUAACUCCGAGAAAUCGGAGCUAAUACCGGAUAGUUCAUCGGACCGCAUGGUCCGUUGAGGAAAGGCGCUUCGGCGUCACCUUGAGAGGGCCUUGCGGUGCAUUAGCUAGUUGGUGGGGUAACGGCCCACCAAGGCGACGAUGCAUAGCCGACCUGAGAGGGUGAUCGGCCACACUGGGACUGAGACACGGCCCAGACUCCUACGGGAGGCAGCAGUAGGGAAUCUUCCACAAUGGACGAAAGUCUGAUGGAGCAACGCCGCGUGAGUGAUGAAGGUUUUCGGAUCGUAAAACUCUGUUGUAAGGGAAGAACACGUACGAGAGGGAAUGCUCGUACCUUGACGGUACCUUACGAGAAAGCCACGGCUAACUACGUGCCAGCAGCCGCCGUAAAAC
rnacentral:rRNA from 1 species